UUUAUAUUAUAACAGUUGUCACACUAUAAAUGCAUGCGAUAACCCUAAAAUUAAAUGGACGUUGUCAAUGCAACCAAAAUUAUGAGUUCGAUAUUAUAGUUGUUUGCAAUCUAGUUAACAUAUAGGUAUAUGUUAACCCAUAUUAUAAAGUUUUGUAUACAUGAGUAGACUAAAAACGGAGUAAAAUAUAAAAAAACGGACAUACUUUGCACGAUAGUUGGGCUAUUGUUGUAAGUGAGAAUUUGGAAAGAUAGAGGAAAAAUUUAACGUACGCAAUGAUUUAUCUUUGCUAAUGAAAAACAAUUUUGAGCUGAAUUUGUUGUAUAUAAUUUAAUAUGUCAUAAUGUUUACAAUUUAAAAAUAAUACAUUUCGUAUAUUUUUCCGUUUUUCUCUCCCCCUAUUUAUUAUGAAAACCCCUAGGAAAAUAAAAAAUUACUUCACUAAAUAUCACUCCAGUCAAA